GAGCUCCGUUGGUAUAGUUUGAGACUUUUAAUCUCAGGGUAAUGGGUUCAAGUCCCACAUUGGGCA